AUCUCACCAUUGUUGCUGCUGGAGAUCAACAAAAAUUUUCUUCAUUCAUCUUCUUUACAGCGAAUGAAAUGUCCAAUUUGUCGAUUUCAACUUCUUCUGUUGCAAAUGUAUUUUGUCGAUGUGGGGUUAAUGCUGAAGUGAAAACCUCAUGGACACAACUUAAUACAGGACAUCGAUUUUUUUGUUGCAAAAACACAAAGAGAAGAGGUGGAUGCGAUUUUUUUCGAUCGUACGAUGAUGAUCUACCGCCUCAAGCAAAAAAGAUCAUAUGGGGCCUAUUGAAAAGAAUCAAAUCAUACGAACAAGAGAGGGAAGCGGGCAACAAAAAUCAGGAUCAUAUGUGUUAUUGCACUCGUGAUUUUUGCUAUAUGGCAAUAAUUAUGUUAGUAGGCUUAGAGUGAUUGUAUCAAUAGUCUUGUGAUUUUGUUGUUGUGAUGUUAGACUAAGGAAUAGAGAUAAGUUGUUCAUUAAUCUAUCAUAUUUUUUUUGUU